rnacentral:lncRNA from 1 species
CUGGCGAGUGGGGGUGUGGGAGUGUAGCGGUGCGCUCACUUCCCCUUUCUCUUCCUUCGCGCCCCGGGGAACCUCCGCUCCGGUGGGGGCCUUCUCACCGCCAGGGGUCCUCGGUCAUCUCGGGUGCAGAGAACAGCUCCGUAGGGCUCCCUGCGGGUUUCCACGCGGGGCUGAGGCCUCCCGGGCCGCGUUGGGAGCGGCCACUUCCAGCCCGGGUCCGAGCUGUCAGCCCUCCCAAGACCUGCGCUGGAGCUGGCGGGACUCGUGUUGCGCCGGCUCAGGAGAGUUGGAGGCGGCUUUGUGGCCCUGACCAUCCCUUGGAAGCAGGUACAGCAGUGGCAUAAUGCCUGGGACAAACUACACAUACCUUGGGUGACCAAGUGGACACUUGCCUCUGAGUGCCCAUCCCGUGGCUGCUGGUGGGUGGACGGGCUGCCGGAUGCCUCUGCAGAGGGCUUUGUGAUCUUGGGCAUUUCCUGCUUCAGGGCUG